rnacentral:rRNA from 1 species
AUUGAACGCUGGCGGAAUGCUUUACACAUGCAAGUCGAACGGCAGCACGGACUUCGGUCUGGUGGCGAGUGGCGAACGGGUGAGUAAUGUAUCGGAACGUGCCCAGUCGUGGGGGAUAACGUAGUGAAAAUUACGCUAAUACCGCCUACGAUCUAUGGAUGAAAGCGGGGGAUCGUAAGACCUCGCGCGAUUGGAGCGGCCGAUAUCCGAUUAGGUAGUUGGUGGGGUAAAGGCCCCCCAAGCCAACGAUCUGUAGCUGGUCGGAGAGGACGACCAGCCACACUGGAACUGAGACACGGUCCAGACUCCUACGGGAGGCAGCAGUGGGGAAUUUUGGACAAUGGGCGAAAGCCUGAUCCAGCCAUUCCGCGUGCAGGAUGAAGGCCCUCGGGUUGUAAACUGCUUUUGUACAGAACGAAAAGGUUUCUACUAAUACUAGGAGCUCAUGACGGUACUGUAAGAAUAAGCACCGGCUAACUACGUGCCAGCCGCCGCCGUAA